ACUGGGGGGAAAAAAUUCUGGAAGCCGCAGUGUUUAGUGGAUGAACCAGAGUGUGGAAGAGCGAGAGAUCAGUAAUGUACGUCUUCCACUGUUGCGUAGUCCUGGCGGCCCUUUUGGCUGUAGCUUUCGGGAGGGAAGGUCGUCAGGAGAUAUAUGUUGAGAAUGGAAUGUGCGUCACCAAGUUUGGAUUGCUGCGAGACCAUCAGAUUUACUACGACAGGGCUGCCUGCUACAUGUACUAUUGCAUGGCCCGGGAGCACGCUUUAUAUUACGAUGCGUGUGAAAUAUCCAAUUACGAACCGAGCAGGCCAGGCUGCAGAGUCAUAGGCCAUGAGGAGGGAAUUUAUCCAGUGUGCUGCAAACGCAUAGAAUCGUGUGAAUACUGAUCGUCAAUAAACCGAAAAGGCCACCUACAA